rnacentral:lncRNA from 1 species
ACGAGUCUUAGAGAUAUCCAUACCGUGUGGAGCGAGGAUUAUUAGGCAAGACGUGUCAACAAUGGUGCCACGAGGAAUUGAUAGUUAUGGCUUUCCAAGUGUGAUUACCUGAAUCUAAAUGCUUUACUCCUUCAUUUAAUUAAACAUAUGUAUAGCUCCCAAAUUGGCAAAAAUGACAUGUUAUGCGUACAUUAUGAGUAUGACUAAUUGAUCAGGUGGCUAUUAUUUGAAUGUAUUGCUCUUUAAAAGAAAUUAAAACUUAAUGACAUGUUUUGAGAUAUAUCUUAAUUAUCGUCUAAUCUUCUCAAACCUUCCUGACGGCCAACGAACAGAACCGGAUAUAAAUAUAUAGACAGACGGGUGGAAUUUUGCUAAACCCUAUUAUUAAAAGCAGUCCAACAAAUAGAGAAAAUAAAAUGUAACUUUAAGGAAAACAAAACUAAAAAAACUUAAUCAGAAACCUAUCUGAGCGUAAUGGUUGAGUUAACUACAGAAGGUUUGGCUAAGCACAAGUUGAAAAUUGACAAUAUUUUCUAAGCACGAGUUGAAAAUUGAAAUUAAUUAACACAUCAAUGUUUCGAGCGUGCUUCUGGAGGCUCCAAAUAGCAAUCAUAAAUAUUCAAGAAAAACCUGGAAGCACUUUGUAGGCUUGUAACCAUUGCAAGAUAUUUCGUUAAAACUCAAAGGAACAUUUAGAUUGCACAUGACCUCACCGCCAAUCUCAUGAUUCUUAUCUUUGAAAGCAAUCACCACGUCAAUACUGUAAAGGCGAGUAGUAUUUGAGAAGCAAGGGUUCCUCAAACACCAUAGGCUUCCACCCUUGAACAACUGCAUUCUGAAAUAUGGUUGUAUUAUUGGCUUCUAGGCGAAACGUUGUCUGGCUGUCAAUCAAGGUGACAACGCCAGAUCUUUUUUUUUUGAUAGUAUGCAGUGACUUGGGUGUCAAUCAACUCAAAGGGGAUCCUUGUAAGGGUUUGUGAGGGUGAUGUUGAGGGGGAGCUUGUAGGAGAGAGUAUGGUUGGUUUCGGUGUAAUUAAAUCGGGUAAGAUAAGCACCGUUGAUGCUGAAUUCAGAGCCUUUUGGCUCUUCCACACUCAAGCAGGCAUAUAAAGUAAGAGCAACCACUGCGCAACAAAACAAACACAACCCCAAUAAUGUUUUCCGGGAAUCUCUGUUAUUCUCGUUGUAUGAACUUUGAAUUGCAGACAUGGCUAACAAGAAGCAAGAAACCGUUUAAGAAACUAAUGGAUACAAAGGCUAACUGCAAUUCUAGGGUUUAUAUUAUAGCCUGCCCAUUCCAAAGCCUUGUUCAAAGAGAAGUUAGAAUCCAAAUCAAUUGCAAUUAGGUUGCCUUGAUCUUUUGGUGGGGUAACAAUUCACGUACAAAUUGGAAACUUAGGGAGAGGAGGAUUAGGAUUCGGUUGGCGCCUAUUAUCAUGGGUAACUUUUGCUUUCUUUUUUUCUUUUUCAGACCAAAAGAAACUUGUGCUUUAUUUUCUUUAUUAUAAAAGUUGCCCAUUUCUUUUUACUUAUUUAAAAAACC